GAUGAACGCUGGCGGCGUGCCUAAUACAUGCAAGUCGAGCGAACAGAUGAGGAGCUUGCUCCUCUGACGUUAGCGGCGGACGGGUGAGUAACACGUGGAUAACCUACCUAUAAGACUGGGAUAACUUCGGGAAACCGGAGCUAAUACCGGAUAAUAUAUUGAACCGCAUGGUUCAAUAGUGAAAGACGGUUUUGCUGUCACUUAUAGAUGGAUCCGCGCCGCAUUAGCUAGUUGGUAAGGUAACGGCUUACCAAGGCGACGAUGCGUAGCCGACCUGAGAGAGUGAUCGGCCACACUGGAACUGAGACACGGUCCAGACUCCUACGGGAGGCAGCAGUAGGGAAUCUUCCGCAAUGGGCGAAAGCUUGACGGAGCAACGCCGCGUGAGUGAUGAAGGUCUUCGGAGCGUAAAACUCUGUUAUUAGGGAAGAACAAAUGUGUAAGUAACUAUGCACGUCUUGGCGGUACCUAAUCAGAAAGCCACGGCUAACUACGUG
rnacentral:rRNA from 1 species